UACAGAGGUCUCAAGCGUUGUUCGGAUUCAUUGGGCGUAAAGGGUGCGUAGGCGGCGGGGCAAGUCGGAUGUGAAAUCUCAGAGCUCAACUCUGAAACUGCAUUGGAUACUAUUCGGCUUGAGGUCUGGAGGGGGGACUGGAAUUCUCGGUGUAGCAGUGAAAUGCGUAGAUAUCGAGAGGAACACCAGUGGCGAAGGCGAGUCCCUGGACAGAUCCUGACGCUGAGGCACGAAAGCUAGGGGAGCAAACAGG
rnacentral:rRNA from 1 species